CGCCCUUUCCCCACCUGGGCGGGGUUCCUCCUCCCCUUCCUCCUUGCUCCCGCCCCAUCCUCCUCCUCCUCGGCGUCCCCAGAGGGAGCCCCUGCGCUCCUCGGCCGGGCUGAGAGCGAAGCCGGGCGCUCACCGUCCCGCAGCCGGCCUCGGCCGCCCCGCAAGCCCCUGCAGCCCCCGGCAGCAGGAGGAGCAGAGGGAGGAGGAGGAGGAAGAGAGGGAGGAGGAAGAAAGCAACCCCCCCCCCCCCACCCCCCGCUGCGGGGCACGCACGUGUGCGCGCAGCCCUCGACGGCCGCCCAGCAGCAUGCAGAGCCCAGCCGUGUGGAGCAUCGGCGCCCAGAGGGGCUGAGCGCUUUGGUGUGCGGGGGAGCAUCUUCGGGCAAAGCUCUGAGCCCUCGGACCCUACUGCCAGGGGAGCGACCCGCAGGAUGGGCGGCCGCAGCCCCCCCGGGGCCGCUGUCCUAGUGCUGCUGCUGGGGUGCGUCGCCCCCUGCUCCUCCGUGGAGGAGAAAAAAGGUGGCAUUGCGUUGCAUCUUCAACACUUAUGUUUUCCUCAAGCAGACACAUAACAGGGAAAAGGAUUCCUCUAGCCAAACGCACCUCCAGUUUUCUAUCGUACCAGGGAAUUCUCAAGCAGGUUCUUCCCAAUCAUUUGCAAUUUGCUGCAGUCUUUGC